GUUCAUUGUGUCUACCUCCAGUUGUGGUACAGGUGAGCAGCAUUGUCGGGGUUUGGAGUGACACCGGCAGCCAGUUUGUAACUGAAAUCGGCAGGUCAAUGCAGUGCACAGAAAAGAUUUUCAUCUGUAAUCCAGCCCAGGAUGGAGCCACUGAUACUGAUCUGGGCCCACCGGGGAAUGCAUAAUUUCUAAUACAUGGAUUCUGUAGGCAAGCCUGCAUGCCGAGACAGCUGACUUCAGUUUUGCAAGCUACACAUAGACCUCGUCACUUAGAGGCCUGCCAGAAAAUACACCCUUAUAAUUCCCCUAGUAUGGCUGAAGGGCAUUCUGAUGCUGCUUGGAGUGCAUCUACAUUUACAUCUACAUCUACAUCAAGGGAGUACCUUUUCUCCCAUUCAAACAGCUGGGGCGUGGUGCUGGUGCAGUGGUAGAGUGUACGACCAAUGUACAUAGAGGCUUUGGCCCAUGACACGGUGGUCCUCUGGUUCAAGUCCCAGCCACAAUGACCAGUGCUGCAUGUCUUCCCCACUCUUCACCUCUCUUCCUGUCAGCCUAAUUUCAAAGAAAUGUCACAAAAUAAAAGCCAAUAGUACUGCAAAAGAAAUUGUUUACAAAUAAAACA